GGAAUGCCAACAAUCUUUAUUGUAGAUAAGAGAGAGACCACUCAGAGGCUCCUGGAGGAGUCAGAAAGAAAAGGAAACAGGCUGGCCAUGGCCAGGGCUAUCAGUAAGAGAGUGGACCCACUUAAGUGCAGCGGAGAAAAUGAAGCGACCUUCCUCCCCUGAGGCACUCCUGGAGUGACUGGACUCUGAAGACAAGAGCCUCUCAGAGUGGCAGAAGUAAGCUCUUUCCAUCUUCCGUCCUGUCAAUUAAAUUCAGCUACCUUAAUGCUAAAGCAA